rnacentral:rRNA from 2 species
GUAACGACUCUCGGCAACGGAUAUCUCGGCUCUCGCAUCGAUGAAGAACGUAGCGAAAUGCGAUACUUGGUGUGAAUUGCAGAAUCCCGUGAACCAUCGAGUCUUUGAACGCAAGUUGCGCCCGAAGCCUUCCGGCCGAGGGCACGUCUGCCUGGGCGUCACGC